UAUGUAUGUAUAAAGAUAUAAAGACCUCUAACACUACCUCUAACACUUCUUUUUAUUUAUUAUAUCAUUUAAAAACCUAUGCUACGUAGCUAUACUUUGUUAACCUAACUGAGUUAUAGCACUUAUCAUUGCUCUUUUGUUGUUUUUGAUUGCUUCCACUGUCCUCGUUUGUAAGUCGCUUUGGAUAAAAGCGUCUGCUAAAUGAAUAAUGUAAAUGUAAAUAUAAUCACAUUUCGCUUGAAUCAAGUUAAAGGUGUAAUCUGCUGAUUGUCCUGCAGGUGACCGCAUAAAUCUGUUUUCUUAAAUACACUUAGGGCUUAACCAUUACUCCAGAGCACCCAUAGAUCGAUGAUUUUCAAGUGCUACUUAAGUUACGAUGCUUUUGGGAAACAGACCGUGAUAUUAAGAUCAGUAGUAUGAUCGUUUUUAUGAACUUCUUAGGCUUACGAAGCUUUUGGGAAACUCAGCCCAGUUUUUUUUCAACAUUCAUUCAAAUAGUAAUGUUUAUUUCGUGCUGCAAAUAUUGAAGAGGAAAAUAUAAUUGAUUCAUAUGCAGUUACCAAAUUAUCUCACUAAAUUAAGCAUAAAAAGCGUAAAAAAGACGUUUAUUGUUGGUACGUAGUUUUUUGCAUAUAUGUCCGGAACUGACCACCUGAACUGACUCGCUAAGACAGACUGCCUGUGAUCAUAAGGCUUCAGUAAACAUCAACACAAAAGUAGGCUACUAUAUAGUACCGACUUAUUUUAAUAGACAUAAUACUUGAAAAUGAAAAUGUGUCAAAACAGUUUAAAAAAAUUUCAAAUAGGCAUAUAUAAACGUAUUAAUUAAUUAUCAAUAUAUAGGCUAUUAAUUUGAACAUGUAGAGUAGCCUACAAGAAACUGCUCUUGUAAUAAGCCGCUUUAUGACAUGAACUGAACUGUAAAAUAAUAGACAUCUGCUGAUCAUACAAUUAUCUAGUUUUCAGAAAUAAGGUCUAAUGUAAAGUGAUCGUUUUUUUCUUUAGAGACGUGUAAGUUCAUAUGUGCUCAGAUUAAAAUUAGCCUAUAUUACUAUUGUAUUAUUUUAUUUAAGAUGUAACUGUGAAUAUAUUUGGACACUCCAUGUUAGUCACUGAUUAGACUUACAUGAUUUAAAAUUGAUUUUCAGGUGAUAUUGCUUGAAAAGUGAUUCAUAAUGAGCGCAAAAAAAAAACUAUGUCAUGCAGUUUAUUUUAUUAUCAAAGCCUAGACCCUAUGUGAUGACAUAACCUGAGACUAAAAGCUGUGAUAUACAUUUUGUCCACUAGAGAGAGCCAAAUUAUAUGGAUUAGGCCUUUUUGAAAGUGAAAGUCCUGACAUUUACCAAGUAACCCAUCCUCGGAACUGCUGCUCUGCAUUUAACCCAUCCAAGUGCACACACACAGCAGUGAGAAGUGAACACACACCCGGAGCAGUGGGCAGCUACAGAUCCAGCGCUGGGGAGCAACUGGGGCUUCAGUGCCAGGGUAUUGAGUUCAGUCCAUGGGUAUUGAGGGUGGAAGAGAGUGCUGUUCAUUCACUCACUCCCACCUACAACUCCUGCCAGCACAGAGACUUGAACCUGAUACCUUCUUGUAAGUAGUCCAAGUCUCUAACCAUUAGGCCACAAACUUGUGCAAACUUCCACGUCAAAAUCAAAUUCUCCAGUCAAAAACCCUUACAUCUAUCAUUAUCAAACUUUGGCCUCAGAUGACAAAACCUACAGUACAAAUACACACACUACAAUUGUUUAGCUUCCUUAAAUAUAAUAAGUUAUCUUUACUUAGUUGUUAUACUUACUAGGUUUUAUUAAGUUACACAAUUUGCUAAUUUUAAGGCGAAUAGAACAACAUGCUGCAAUGAGUAAUUCUUUCUUAAAAUAUUCAAGUAGCUACAACAAAACCGAUGACAUUAAUUCACCAGUGAGAGGCAGCAGUGCGCUAAUGUGCAACAGGAACAAAACAACAGAAGAAGAAAUAAGGACGGUGAGCAUGCACAGCAAGCAAAGUUUUGAAGCUGCAUUGAAUUUGCUUAAACUAAGUAGAAAGACUGUUUACAUUUCACCUCUGGACAAAGAAUGAUUGAUUACUUCUACACAAUAAUAAUAAGGAAAAAAGCUUGUGUCAGCUGUCUUCUCUGAGCAGCGGUCUUGUGAUCACCGGUCUCAGUAUAAUAAAGAGGACACUUCACAUCCUAGAACCCAUAAAAUAAAAGAUUUGACAGAACUACACACCCAUCUGAGGCCUACCUGUUUUAAUUCAUGAUCACCCCGGAU